rnacentral:rRNA from 1 species
AAUAGAUACCCGGGUAGUCCACGCCGUAAACGAUCGAGUGCUAAGUGUUACGAGGGGUUUCCGCCCUUUAGUGCUGCAGCUAACGCAUUAAGCACUCCGCCUGGGGAGUACGGUCGCAAGACUGAAACUCAAAGGAAUUGACGGGGGCCCGCACAAGCGGUGGAGCAUGUGGUUUAAUUCGAAGCAACGCGAAGAACCUUACCAGGUCUUGACAUCCCACUGACCGGUAUAGAGAUAUACCUUUCCCUUCGGGGACAGUGGUGACAGGUGGUGCAUGGUUGUCGUCAGCUCGUGUCGUGAGAUGUUGGGUUAAGUCCCGCAACGAGCGCAACCCUUGAUCUUAGUUGCCAGCAUUUAGUUGGGCACUCUAAGGUGACUGCCGGUGACAAACCGGAGGAAGGUGGGGAUGAUGUCAAAUCAUCAUGCCCCUUAUGACCUGGGCUACACACGUGCUACAAUGGAUGGUACAAAGGGCUGCAAGACUGCGAAGUCAAGCCAAUCCCAUAAAACCNUUCUCAGUUCGGAUUGCAGG